rnacentral:tRNA from 1 species
CCCGCCGUAGCUCAGCGGUAGAGCGCCCGGCUGUAGUGGGACAGGGCUGUAUCGGCCUUAUCUUAGCCGAUACCGGGUGGUCCGGGGUUCAAUUCCCCGCGGCGGGA